AUUUUUUAAUUGGAAAUUCCUACUAUAAUCUUUAAUCAGUGAACAAAUUACUUAAAUGCUAAUUAAUUUCCAGUAGAUACCUAGUUAACUGUCUAGCUGUUCAGUACACCCUUAAGGUGUGAGGCCUCCCUCAGAUGUUUGCUGUGUUCAUUUAACAGACGGUACCUACCUAUGAUUUUAUAAAACUUAUUUUAAAUAAAUAAAACUAAUUAAAAAAAAACUUA